GACGGAAGGUGCAAGCGUUGCUCGGAAUCACUGGGCGUAAAGGGUGCGUAGGCGGCUUCGUCAGUCGGGUGUGAAAGCCCCGGGCUCAGCCUGGGAAGGGCAGUCGAUACUGCGAAGCUGGAGUGCCGGAGGGGAGAGUGGAAUUCCUGGUGUAGCGGUGAAAUGCGUAGAUAUCAGGAGGAAUACCGGUGGCGAAAGCGACUCUCUGGACGGCAACUGACGCUGAGGCACGAAAGCGUGGGGAGCAAACAGG
rnacentral:rRNA from 1 species